UGAGUGCGAGCUGCUACGGCAGCGAAGUUGGUGACGUCAUGCUUCCAAGAAAAGCCCUAUACCCGUUAAGGCAUCAUGGCCUGUACCCGAAACCGACACAGGUGGGGUGGUAGAGAAUACCGAGGGGCGCGAGGUAACUCUCUCUAAGGAACUCGGCAAAAUGGCCCCGUAACUUCGGGAGAAGGGGUGCCACCGCAAGGUGGUCGCAGUGAAGAGGCCCAGGCGACUGUUUACCAAAAACACAGGUCUCCGCUAAGUCGCAAGACGAUGUAUGGGGGCUGACGCCUGCCCAGUGCCGGAAGGUUAAGGAAGCUGGUCAGCGCAAGCGAAGCUAGCAACUGAAGCCCCGGUGAACGGCGGCCGUAACGAUAACGGUCCUAAGGUAGCGAAAUUCCUUGUCGGGUAAGUUCCGACCCGCACGAAAGGCGUAACGAUCUGGGCGCUGUCUCGGAGAGAGGCUCGGCGAAAUAGAAUUGUCUGUGAAGAUGCGGACUACGUGCACCCGGACAGAAAGACCCUAUGAAGCUUUACUGUAGCUUGGUAUUGUGCCCGGGCUCGCAAUGCGCAGGAUAGGUGGGAGGCUUUGAUCAUCGGCUUGCGGGUCGAUGUGAGCCAACGGUGAGAUACCACUCUUUGCGAGCUAGGGUUCUAACGGCCACCCGUCAUCCGGGGGCCGGACAGUACCUGGUGGGCAGUUUGACUGGGGCGGUCGCCUCCUAAAAGGUAACGGAGGCGCGCAAAGGUUUGCUCAGGCUGGUUGGAAAUCAGCCGACGAGUGUAAAAGCAGAAGCAAGCUUGACUGUGAGACCAACAAGUCGAACAGGGAGGAAACUCGGCUUUAGUGAUCCGACGGUUCUGAGUGGAAGGGCCGUCGCUCAACGGAUAAAAGUUACUCUAGGGAUAACAGGCUGAUCUCCCCCAAGAGUUCACAUCGACGGGGAGGUUUGGCACCUCGAUGUCGGCUCAUCGCAACCUGGGGCUGAAGUCGGUCCCAAGGGUUGGGCUGUUCGCCCAUUAAAGCGGUACGCGAGCUGGGUUCAGAACGUCGUGAGACAGUUCGGUCCAUAUCCGGUGCACGCGCAGGAAUAUUGAGAGGAUUUCUCCCUAGUACGAGAGGACCGGGAGGAACGCACCUCUGGUGUACCAGUUAUCGUGCCAACGGUAAACGCUGGGUAGCCAUGUGCGGAGUGGAUAACCGCUGAAAGCAUCUAAGUGGGAAGCCCACCUCAAGAUGAGUAUUCCCAUGGCGUAAGCCAGUAAGGUCACGGGAAGAACACCCGUUGAUAGGCUCUAUGUGGAAGCGCAGUAAUGCGUGAAGCAGAGGAGUACUAAUAGACCGAGGGCUUGAU
rnacentral:rRNA from 1 species